rnacentral:rRNA from 1 species
GUGGGGAAUCUUCCGCAAUGGACGAAAGUCUGACGGAGCAACGCCGCGUGAGUGAAGAAGGUUUUCGGAUCGUAAAGCUCUUUCGUUAGGGACGAACGUGCUCUUUGUGAAUAAUGAGGAGUAAUGACGGUACCUAAAUAAGAAGCCACGGCUAACUACGUGCCAGCAGCCGCGGUAAUACGUAGGUGGCAAGCGUUGUCCGGAAUUAUUGGGCGUAAAGCGCGCGCAGGCGGGAUAUCAAGUCUGUCUUUAAAGUGCGAGGCUCAACCUCGUGAGGGGACAGAAACUGGUAUUCUUGAGUGUCGGAGAGGAAAGUGGAAUUCCAAGUGUAGCGGUGAAAUGCGUAGAGAUUUGGAAGAACACCAGUGGCGAAGGCGACUUUCUGGACGAUGUCUGACGCUGAGGCGCGAAAGCUAGGGGAGCGAACGGGAUUAGAAACCCUUGUAGUCC